GACGAACGCUGGCGGCGUGCUUAACACAUGCAAGUCGAACGGAGUGGCGAACGGGUGAGUAACACGUGGGUGAUCUGCCUUGCACUUCGGGAUAAGCUUGGGAAACGGGGGCCAAAACCGGAUAGUGCAAGAUGAGCUCGCGGCUUAUAAGCUUGUUGGUGGGGUAAUGGCCUACCAAGGCGUCGACGGGUAGCCGGGCUGGGAGGGUGUACGGCCACAUUGGGACUUAGAUACGGCCCAGACUCCUACGGGAGGCAGCUGUGGGGAAUAUUGCACAAUGGGCGGAAGCCUGAUGCAGCGGCGCCGCGUGGGGGAUGAAGGCCUUCGGGUUGUAAACUCCUUUCGACCGGGACGCGGUACCUGUAUAAGAAGCACCGGCUAACUACGUGCCAGCAGCCGCGGUAAUUC
rnacentral:rRNA from 1 species